CCAUUUCAACCCUUAAGCCUAGCUUAGUGUAGGGAGCCUACUGUAUUGUAGCUCCUUAAAUCCAACGGCGGAUCUGUGGUAUCCUCUGAGCGUAGUAAUUUUUAUCUCGCUUUUGUUAGGUGCCGCAGCUCUCAGCCGCUAAACCCCCUAAAUUUUUAAUGGUUGACCUCGGAUCAGGUAGGAAUACCCGCUGAACUUAA
rnacentral:misc_RNA from 1 species